GUACAGUGGCGGACAAAAGUCUACAUACACCCCCUAUUUCCAUUGAUAUGAGAGUACAAAAAGUUUUUAGAAAAAUGUAUUUAUACAGUUUUAUUCUAAUAUUUAUUAUAAUAACAGUUAACUAAAAAAAUUCAUUAUUUAACAUAAAACAACAAAUUUAUGGAAGAAAAACUCAAAAAUUGCUUUGACAAAAGUGUACAUACAGUUCAAAUCCCAUACUUUGUACAUUGUUAUAUUAACAGUAAGGUAACGUUAGCCUUUUUCUUUUAUUUCAAUAUGUUUAUUGUUUGAUAUUUAUUGAAUUUAGUUGUGGUUUAAGCCCUUCAAUAGCUAUAAUGGCUCCGCGAAAUGAAAUAUCAAUUGAUGUAAGAAAUUUGAUGAUAAAAGAAAGAAAAGAAAAAAAAUCAUAUGGUGAAAUUUCUAAAAUUUUAAACUUGAGUCGAGCAACAGUACAGACAAUUCUAAAAAACUUUAAAAAUAAUGGUUCCAACGAAAAUAAACCGCGCAGUGGACGCCCAAAAAAACAAUCUCGUAGAGACGUCAGCCUGAUUCUCAACGAAGUAGACCAAAAUCCAAAAGUAAAUGCUCCAAAUAUAGCCGAACGCAUAGUAAGUACGUCACAAAUAAGUAUCCAACCAAGAACAAUAAAAAAAAACUCUAAACGAUAACGGAUUCCACAGUAGAACACCACGGAAGAAACCUUUUAUUUCUGAAAAAAUCGGAAACUUCGUUUAAAGUUCGCCAAAAAACACAAAGAAAAGGAAAUGGAUUUUUGGAAAAAAGUCUCAUUUACAGAUGAUUCUAAAUUCACCCUUUUUGGUAGUGAAGAAGGGGCUAAAAUUUGAAGGAAAACUAACGCCACGCUUGAACCGAAGAACGUAGUAUCAAUUGUGAAGCUCGGUGGAGGCAGCGUAAUGGUUUGGGGAGCUGUUGCGGCCUCUGGAGUUAGAAAUUCGGACUUUAUUGAAGGUGAAAUGGACGGUUAUAAGUAUAAGUCUCUGUUGGAACAUAAUUUGAAGCCUUUGGUGGAUAAUUUAGGGCUCGGUUCCAGUUGGAUAUUUCAACAAGAUAACGAUCCGAGGCAUGCGGCCCAAAUUGGUAAGGACUGGUUGCUUUAUUAUACUCCAAGGCAAUUAAAUACACCACCUCAAAGUCUAAAUAUGAAUAUUAUUGAACAUGUCUAGGAGAUUUUGGUGCGUAGAAUUAGAAAGCACCAAGUUUCUAGCUCUGCUAUACUCUAAGAGCGCAUAUUGGAACCUUGGAACAGCAUUACAUCUGCAGCGUUGACAAAUUUAGCAGAAUCAAUGCCACGGCAUCUUCAAGCAGUUAUAGAUGCCAAUGGGGACCCAACUAAAUACUAAAACGUCUUAAUAACUAGCAUUUUGUAAAGUUUUUCGCACUGAACUAAGAUAUUUUUGUACUGUAUGUAGACUUUUGUCAACACAAUAUUUGAGUUUUUAUUCCAUAAAUUUGUAGUUUUAUAUUAAUUAACGGAUUUUUUAAGUUUGUUGUUAUUAGAAAGAAGAUUAGAAUAAAACUGUAUCAACACAUUUUUCUAAAAAGUUUUUCUACUCUCACAUCGAAGAAAACAGGGGGUGUAUGUAGACUUUUGUCCGCCACUGUAUAUGUUAUCGCUCAUAUAGAAUAAAUCUAAGUGUAUGUAUUCUCCUACUUGAUUUGGUGUUGGUGCUGCACCAAUCGGUUGUUUGUUUGGUCGGCGUUCAUAUUUGUUUGUGAGACAGAUUUCACAGUCUUGUACUUCUUUUUUACAGGCCUCUCGUAUGUUUGGCCAGUAAUAUUUUAACGAAAUUUCCUGUGCGUUAUUUUUGUAAUUUCUGUGUGCACGUCUAUGUGUGCCAUUUAUGAUUUGUUUUUGUUUUUCGACUUCGGUUAUGUCUUCAACCGUUUUAUGAGUUAGAACAAUAGACACAGUGGGAAAUACACUGAUAAUAUCAUUUUCAACGAAAAAUAAUAUUUGUUCAUCUAUUUGUAGAGCGUUUACAACUUGUGUUUUGAUUACAUUUUUUAAUCUGUCCAAUAGCUCAGUUUUAGUGUUAAAAAAAAUUGUAUGUCUACUGUUAGAAAAUAUAUUUUGAUAUGAUACUUGGGUGGGGUUUGCGUCUGAUUGUUUUAUAAUAAUUUGAUUUUUAAAUCUAUUUAAUGGUUGCUUUACGCGUUUAAUUUUUUCCAUAGGAGAGCUUUGUGCUGAAUGUUGGGAAUUAUUAGAAUUAGAUGUGUUAUUAAUUUGUUGGCGGGAAAGUGCAUCAGCAACAACGUUCUGCUGACCAGGUUUGUAAGUGAUUUUAGCGCCGUAUUCUUCGAUGAAAUUUUUCCAUCUUUUUAAUUUUGUAUUUUUUUCCGAUAUGGCAAAAAUUAAAGAUUGACGACCGGUGUAUAUAGUGAAAUCUGCUAUGACGUACAAGUAAUUUCGAAGCUUUUGUAAAGCCCACACAAUUGCGAGUAACUCUUUUUCGUUUGUAGAGUAAUUCAGUUCGGUUUGGCUAAGUGUUCGUGAAAUAAAUGAUAUGGGUUUUUUAUUUUGCGAUAAUACAGCUCCUAUCGCGUGUUUGUAAAAGUUAUUUUAUCUUGCUAAUAUGCGGGAAUAUACACCCGUCUUACAAUUAGUUUUGUUUUAUUUUGCCUGUAUUUUGAACAGGGCUUUUUUGUAUUUUGCCUGUUUUGUAAGUACAGGACUUUUUAAUUUGGCCGAGCUCUUCAUCCGGCUCGAAGGACCAAAAAAUGUUAAUACCUCAAUAUAGCUUCUAACAAUCCUUACCGCUGGUGGGGGGAAUUGAAAGUCUUACAUUGAGGGAGAAUCUAUUCAUUCUGAUUUUUAUUUUGUAUUUUCUUGCUUAUAUACAAUUUUUAAAUCUAUCUUAAAUAACUAAAUAUAUUUGUAUGUGUGUAUGUGUGUAUGUUUUUAUGUAUUGCAGCAUAUUAUUAUUGCUGCUUGACAUGGGGUUGAUUUCAAGUGUAUAAUUUAUUGUAAGUGUGCGUGUGUGUGUUUAAUGUUAUCUCUGCUGUAUAUUUAUGAUUUUUGUCCCAUGCAUUUUUAUUAUUAUUACUCGUAGAUGUGCAUUGCAUGUAAAUGCAUUAUGUCUAUACAUAUGUAUGUAUGUAUAUUAAUAUAUAAAUAGAUAUUUCUAUUUAGUACAAUUUCGGCUUGCUGAUAAGUAAGCAUGUUCAAUGAUAUUUGAACAUCGCGUAAUUACUAGCGUCUGUGGUUAAUUCGAAAGGUUCACAAUGUUAUACACCAUCAUAAUUUAUACGGGGAUUCCAUUCAUCACAGCUCAAGUCGAAAUCAUGGAUCUCAAUCACGGGAAUGGAUAUUCCCUUCUGAACCUAGAAAAAGUAAAGUUAGUAGAAAGAUACGACAGAAUUACAUAUCUUAUCAAUACAACAAUGUACAAAGAAAUAGUUGACAAUUUAGAUUAGAUGGCACUCAAAGAAAAAGAACCGAAUCCGCUUGUAAUGGCUAAAAUUAAGCAUAUUAGAACUCAGAUAUAUACACUCACCCUGCAUCAUUGAAUUGAGAAAAGGGGAUAAGUUUAUAUUAUAGGAAUAGGUCGUAAAUAUAUUUAUGGCGUCAUGGACGACGAAGACCGUCAAGAAAUAGAAGGCAAAUUAGAAAUAAAUACAAUCAAUGCCCACAAUGCAAUUGAACAAAUCAAUGUUCAGAAAAACAUUAAUGAAAAAUUUAACUACCAAAUUAAAGCUAUUAGUGAUAAUACUAACAAUCACUACAGGAAAUUGUUUCAGAAUAUUGUUGCGAAUUUACUCCUUACUAGUUUACUUUACUAGGUUCGUAUCUCUGGAUUGACAAAUAAAACCGUUUAAUUCACUUCAACAAAAUCUCUUUAUUUUACAACUCGUCUACACUAUAGCAGUUUACUCUUAGCACUGGUUUAUUACGUUGGCGCUGCCACGGCUUAUAUAGCCACGCACUUCUCGCUGAUGCCGACGUGUCCUUCUAGAAUAUUGCGUCUGGAACUUACAAGAACAUAAUGUUAUACGGCGCCAAAUGCAGUUAUUGUUUAGACAAGCAGACAGCCGUGGCGCCAGACUCAGCAAUUGUUUAAGUAGACAAGCAGACGGCUGCGGCGCCAGAUGUCUAUUGUUUCGACAAGCAGACAGCCGCGGCGCCAGAUGUCUACAACAAGACAAAUGCUAUUCCAUAUACCUACAGCUAUUGUUCAUAAUAAGGGAUGCAUAUAGCAAUACAAAUACAACUUAAUACUACUUUUGUAACAAUAUUAACGCAGUUAGCUCAGAAUUAAAUAAAAUAGCAAAAUAACGGUGGACGAACAAACUGUUAGGGAAUUUAAUGUAUAUUGAGACUAAUAUCGUAAGAAUAAAAGAGAUCAUAAUGACGAGUCAAAAUAAUCUCUUAAGUAGAGAUAUUAUUUCAGAUGACGAUAGUUUAAAAUUGAAUAUAACUUUUGAAAAAUUGUGUAAGAUCAAAACUGUAAUUAUCACUCAAAACGAAAAUAUUGUGAUUUUAGUGAAGAUUCCUAGUUUUACCAAAGAGAUAUAUCAAUCAAUAUACAUUUAACCUAUACCGAAUACAAAUCAAGCAGAAUUAAAUAUACAAGAAAAAGAAAUUUUAUGUCUAAAUCAUGUCACAUAUAAAAAGACUGCCAUAAAAAAAGAAAUAGAAGAAUACAAAGACGAAUGCAUCGAAUACUUAUUUAGGAGUCACAAUAAAAUUAAUUGUAAAUAUAAGUAUAAUUACCAAUCAAAAGUCAAAGAAAUGAAUACAAAUCAUAUUUAUCAUAACUGUAAUUUUAACAACUUUACUAUUAACGGUAAUUAUUUAAUACGAUUUGAAAAUUGUAAUGCUCAAAUUGAUAACUUAUGGUGGUAUUCUGCAAGCAGUCUCAAGUCUCUAAUAGAGACGAAUCUGUGGUGAAAUCUAUUUAGUGACUGUUUGGUAUUCUGACGAGUUUGUUUCAUCUCUAAUUGAGCAAUAUCAGUCUCUAACUUGUUAUAUGCUUUGCAAAUCAUAGAAAAACAAGAGCAAAACAAUGGCUGAUGAAGUUGGACUAUUUUACCUUAUGAUGAAAAAACGCGAGGGGGAGGACAGGCGCAAUCUGACUGUUUUGCGAAACAAAAAAGAUCCGUUUUCAUACGAAAAGAACACAUUCAGGAAGUUCUUCCGAUUUCCCAAAUCUUUGUGCUAGGAUCUCAUUAUUCAACUCAAGCCGUAUGACCAGCAGCAAACAUCGAUUCCAUUUGAAAUUCGGUUUAUUUCAGUUUUAUAUUUUUUAUGCAAUGGCUCACAUCAGUGUUGCGUGGGAAAGACAUAGGGGAUGUUCGAGCAAGCAAAUAACUGCGGUAAUAUUGCAACCCUGAUGUUUUUUUGCAGAUGCUCAGCUGAUACUUAUGCAUAUAUUUUGCAAAUAUUUUGCGCGGCAUGCAAGUAAAUUGAACAAGUGGAGUUAAAAAGUUUCAAAAAUGAAUUUUUUAAUAAAUUUAACACUUGAUAGCAUGGUGGAGAGUGAGAGUGCUUUACUUUUGAAAUACAAACAAAAAAGGAAAGAAAGUUUUGCGCGUAAAAAGAAAUGGCUUUUGACUGAAAUUUUAAAAAAGAGGACGAUAGGGAAAUCGCAAAACUUCCUCAAGACAAUUCCAUUUUAUCCUCCGGACAUAUAUUUGUCACAUUUUCGGAUGUCUCGUGAAACAUUUGCGGAAUUAAAGAGCGCCUUGGAGCCUUUUUGGAUAACGUCACGAGGGGAAUAUUCAAUGGAUCAGCCCUUGCAUAUUACCUUGUGGAAGCUUAGUAACAGCAGAGUCACUUAUCGCGAAUUAUGCCCACAAAAUUUUUCUUAAAACGAUCAAUGCAAUUUGUAAGUUGAAGCAUGAAAUAUGUAGGCCAUCAAUUUCUCAACAGCAAACAAUAAUGGAGCGUUUCCAAGCGAGCCGGCCGAAUGCAUUUCCUUUCGUAGUCGGCUGUUUGGAUGGGACACAUUUUAAAAUAAACACACCGAAGAAGGAUGCAAUUAGCUACUAUGACCGAAAGGGGAACUAUUCCAUUAUUAUGCAGGGCAUAUGCGACAGCACAUUUCGUUUCUUGGAUGUUUUUAUCGGCUACCCAGGGAGCUGCCAUGACGCCAACGUAUGGAAAAACUGUCCGAUAUACAAAGGAAUUACGUCUGGAGAGAUACAACUUGCAAAAGAUGCUAUAAUUUUAGCUGACUCAGCUUAUCCUCUUUCAAAAUAUUUGAUCGCGCCUUAUAGAGAUAAUGGACAUCUGUUGAGAGAGGAGAAACAAUUUAAUUAUUAUUUAAGUUCAACUCGGGUAUUCAUUGAACAAGCUUUUGGGAUUUUGAGGGGAAAGUUCAAAAUUUUAAAUCAUAUUGAUAUUCAAAAUAUGGAAGAGGUAUCAAAAGUAGUAUUAGCUUGUGUAAUUUUGCAUAAUUUAAUAAUGCGGAACAAUUUUAAUGAUUCUGAAAUCAAUUAUCCAUUGGAAAAUUUCGAAAUAUUUAAUGAAAACGAUGCUGAAAUGCAUGAAAACAUAAAUGAUACUAACGAAGGUAUUAUCAAAAGAAAUAAUUUAAAAAUGUUGUUUGUUUCUUAAAUUUUUUAUUUUUUAAAUAAAAAUGUUAGUAAAUAAAUAUAUGUA